GUGCCAGCCGCCGCGGUAAUACGGAGGGUCCGAGCGUUAUCCGGAAUCAUUGGGUUUAAAGGGUCCGCAGGCGGUCGAUUAAGUCAGAGGUGAAAUCCCAUAGCUCAACUAUGGAACUGCCUUUGAUACUGGUUGACUUGAGUCAUAUGGAAGUAGAUAGAAUGUGUAGUGUAGCGGUGAAAUGCAUAGAUAUUACACAGAAUACCGAUUGCGAAGGCAGUCUACUACGUAUGUACUGACGCUGAGGGACGAAAGCGUGGGGAGCGAACAGGAUUAGAUACCCUGGUAGUCCACGCCGUAAACGAUGGAUACUAGUUGUUGGGCAUUAGCUCAGUGACUAAGCGAAAGUGAUAAGUAUCCCACCUGGGGAGUACGGUCGCAAGACUGAAACUUAAAUAAAUUGACGG
rnacentral:rRNA from 1 species